rnacentral:rRNA from 1 species
UACGGGGGGGGCAAGCGUUGUUCGGAAUUACUGGGCGUAAAGGGCUCGUAGGUGGCCAACUAAAGUCAGACGUGAAAUCCCUCAGCUUAACUGGGGGAACUGCGUCUGAUACUGGAUGGCUUGAGUUUGGGGAGAGGGAUGCGGAAUUCCAGGUGUAGCGGUGAAAUGCGUAGAUAUCUGGAGGAACACCGGGUGGCGAAGGCGGUUCUCUGG